CCUACGGGAGGCAGCAGUCGGGAAUAUUGCGCAAUGGAGGAAACUCUGACGCAGUGACGCCGCGUAUAGGAAGAAGGUUUUCGGAUUGUAAACUCUUGUCGUUAGGGAAGAUAAAAGACUGAUCUUAAGGAGGAAGCCCCGGCUACAUAUGUGCAAGCAGCCGCGGUAAGACAGAGGGGGCAAGCGUUAUCCGGAAUUACUGGGGGUAAAGGGUGCGUAGACGGAAGAGCAAGUCGGUUGUGAAAUCCCUCGGCUCAACUGAGGAACUGCAACCAAAACUAUUCUCCUUGAGUGUCGGAGAGGAAAGUGGAAUUCCUGGUGUAGCGGUGAAAUGCGUAGAGAUUAAGAGGAACACCAGUGGCGAAGGCGACUUGCUGGACGAUAACUGACGUUGAGGCACGAAAGUGUGGGGAGCAAACAGGAUUAGAUACCCGUGUAGUC
rnacentral:rRNA from 1 species